UAUAUGAUACUUGAUUACUUCAGUCAGCUCGUCUUGGCUACUGCAAUUUUCCCUACUGUAUAUUUACAAUAAAACGAAAUAUGAUAAUCAAAUACCACUGCCUCCUUUCGUUUUCAUUUAAGCAUAAUAACAACUGCAGAAAUGUACUUAGUUCAGGGAAAUGUGUAUAUGCAGCCAUUACAAUGAAACGAAAUAUUAUAUAAAUUUGCCUUUUUUAUUUUAAUUUUAACAUAUAGAUAAAUUGAAUACAGACCAAAGAAAACCUGUUAGAUUUACCCCGCAGCUGAAUUAUAUUUUAUGUUUAACCACUAAAGACACAUCAGAGCCAGCGGCGCAUAUCAGAAGGUCUAUCCCAGGAGAGGCUGCUCUCUGCGGAUACAUGAGGACUGAGCUCCCGCUGAUCGAGUGGAGCUCAUCGUCUACGAGAUCGGCGAAACACAUUUUUAAAUAGGCGCUGUCUUUAUAAAUAAACAACAGAUUUGAGUUUCAAACAACUACAUUCUCGCCUGAAAUACUUUUAAAAUUACAUUUCAUGACACAAUAACAGUAAUAUUUUGAAAAUGUUGAUCCGAAUAAAUGGUGGUUGAACUCAACCAAUGCUGCGUGAACUCAACCAAUCAGCAUGUUUAGCGCCAAAGUCCCGCCCCCGAAAGUUCCGGAACUUUAAAAAAGUACCACCUCGCCAGCAGGGACUUUCUGGGGGGCAUUUUUUUACCCGGAACUUUUAUUUAGUUCCUGGUUCCUGCGGUGGAAACACACCAAGUACCGGACCAAGUCCCUAGUUCCUGGGUAAAGUUCCUGCGGUGGAAACGCGGCUUGAGUCUGGAGUAGAAACAUCCAGAGCCACCGUGCACAGGCGUGUGCAGGAAAUGGGCUACAGAGAAGCAGCCCUGGACUGUUGAUCAGUGGUCCAAAGUACUUUUUUCGGAUGAAAGCAAAUUUUGCAUGUCAUUCGGAAAUCAAGGUGCCAGAGUCUGGAGGAAGACUGGGGAGAAGGAAAUGCCAAAAUGCCUGAAGUCCAGUGUCAAGUACCCACAGUCAGUGAUGGUCUGGGGUGCCAUGUCAGCUGCUGGUGUUGGUCCACUGUGUUUUAUCAAGGGCAGGGUCAAUGCAGCUAGCUAUCAGGAGAUUUUGGAGGCCUUCAUGCUUCCAUCUGCUGAAAAGCUUUAUGGAGAUGAAGAUUUCGUUUUUCAGCACGACCUGGCACCUGCUCACAGUGCCAAAACCACUGGUAAAUGGUUUACUGACCAUGGUAUUACUGUGCUCAAUUGGCCUGCCAACUCUCCUGACCUGAACCCCAUAGAGAAUCUGUGGGAUAUUGUGAAGAGAAAGCUGAGAGACACAAGACCCAACACUCUGGAUGAGUUUAAGGCCGCUAUCGAAGCAUCCUGGGCCUCCAUAACACCUCAGCAGUGCCACAGGCUGAUUGCCUCCAUGCCACGCCGCAUUGAAGAAGUCAUUUCUGCAAAAGGAUUCCCGACCAAGUAUUGAGUGCAUAACUGAACAUAAUUAUUUGAAGGUUGACUUUUUUUGUAUUAAAUAUGUCGGAUGAAAUAUGCUAAUUUUUUGAGAUAGGAAUUUUGGGUUUUCAUGAGCUGUAUGCCAAAAUCAUCAGUAUUAAAACAAUAAAAGACCUGAAAUAUUUCAGUUGGUGUGCAAUGAAUCUAAAAUAUAUGAAAGUUUAAUUUUUAUCAUUACAUUAUGGAAAAUAAUGAACUUUUUCACAGUAUGCUAAUUUUUUGAGAAGGACCUGUAUGUGUGAUUUUAUAACAAGACUGCCUUUUUCGAAAACCAAAUUAGCUCCUACUCCGGAGCAGGGUAUAACCAGCACAACUGGUGCUAUCCGUGAUGCAAGUAGACAUUGAUUGGCCAGACGUGUUCAAAAACGCCCUCACCAGCCAUGAUUUAAACAAUAGUUGUGUCAACUUAUUUUGCCAGUAUAAUGAACAGCAAUAAAUGUAUGGAUGCAAGCACUUUUGUAGCAAAUGUAGCACUCCCAGUUGUCCUUGUAGAUUCUUAGUCCUCCGUUCUGUUUUUUCAAUCGCUUUAUGUAUACGUCAACAUUCCAUGUCUAUAAUUGUGAAACCCGCAAGACACAACAGAAACACAGCUCCAAUCACAGCAUCCUCCUGUUGUUAGCGUUGUUCUUCUUUUUUAACGUUGUUGAAUGCCGUGCACAAAUGACAUCUCUGUCAAGCGGCUUAUGUCAUGUAAUGUCAACUCUUUAAAUUGUACUGGGAAAAACUGUUAGUGCAAAAUCAUCCCAGUAUUUUAGUGCUGUACAUUUAGGCCCCGUCCACACGGAGACGCGUUUCUGUGAAUACGCACAAAUUUUUUAUCAGAUAGGCGUUUCGUCCACACGGAUCCGGCGUUUUCGCAAGGUGAAACUGCUAUUUUUUUAAACCGGGUCCCAAACUGGAUAAGUUUGAAAACGCUGUCUUUGUGUUUCGUCUGGACGGCUAAUCCGUAUAUUUUCUGAAACGAUGACGUCAUCAGCCCACGUCUCCCCCCUAGUCAGACACCUCUACGUCAUGUAACAGCAACAAAAACAUGACAAAUACUGAACGAUUGUCUUUUUAUUAAAUAACAUUAACACUGAUUAAUAAAUGUAUUGUUCCAUGUUCGUUUGUGUACCACGCGCAAUGUUUUUGAGCAUAGUCCAAGUCUUCUUCUCUGUUUUUAGUGUAUCUCUGUGGCAGAAUUACAGCGCCACAUACAGUUCUGGCAUGUAUACUACAUCAUUUUGCGGUUUCGUGUGGACGCGGAUAUUUCUUGAGAUGAGGAAAAAAAAGAUCGGAUUGGGGUAAGCUCCGUCUCCGUGUGGACGGGGCCUUAGUUCAGGAAAUAAAGAAGUGCGAAAGGCCCUAAUGCAAACGACUGCAGACUUCACACUCCUCUCUAAUGCUUUCUUUGUUAAGCAAGCGAUAAUGAGCGACCUUUUGCAGAAGCAAUUAAUUUCAUAGCAUUAGUGUAAAUGGUGAGAUUUAUGAGAGAAAAUAGCCAGAUGGCUAAUACAAAGUUGUACCGGGAGGAUGUGUUGCAAAUGUUGUUCGCCGAUUCUGACUCUGAAGGGGAAUAUUUGCCCUUUGAAAAUGACAAUCGGCCACGGUACAUCUUUGCAGCGCAAUGGUGCCGCCGUGCAAGGCGAGAGUUUUCACGAAGCACAAACAAGUGAUCAUUUCGACCCUUUGCUCAACAGGGAUGUGGGUGGCAGAGGUUAACGUGGUCAUAGUGUCCAUAGGAGAGCUGUUGCUGAUCACGCACGCUCUAAUGCGCGGCCGGCAGACAGUACAGGUGCAGUCUGUGUGGAGUAGGUGCACUCUGUGCUGCGUCAUGCAAUGAAUGAGAAGAACCAUAUUCUCAAGAACUACGAACUGUGUCAUAUAGAUACCUUAUUGGGCAAAUAGCUGGUCAACUGAUCAAAAAAUAGGCACAUGUAUUUUACUAUGGCACAGUAAUAUAGUAAUAAUGUACUACUUUUCUUGUUUUCUUUUUUUUUUCU